AGAGUUUGAUCCUGGCUCAGAUUGAACGCUGGCGGCAGGCUUAACACAUGCAAGUCGAGCGGGCGAGGUUGCUUCGGUAACUGAGCUAGCGGCGGACGGGUGAGUAAUGCUUAGGAAUCUGCCUAUUAGUGGGGGACAACAUUCCGAAAGGGAUGCUAAUACCGCAUACGUCCUACGGGAGAAAGCAGGGGAUCUUUAUGACCUUGCGCUAAUAGAUGAGCCUAAGUCAGAUUAGCUAGUUGGUGGGGUAAAGGCCUACCAAGGCGACGAUCUGUAGCGGGUCUGAGAGGAUGAUCCGCCACACUGGGACUGAGACACGGCCCAGACUCCUACGGGAGGCAGCAGUGGGGAAUAUUGGACAAUGGGGGGAACCCUGAUCCAGCCAUGCCGCGUGUGUGAAGAAGGCCUUUUGGUUGUAAAGCACUUUAAGUGGGGAGGAGGCUUACCUGGUUAAUACCUGGGCUAAGUGGACGUUACCCACAGAAUAAGCACCGGCUAACUCUGUGCCAGCAGCCGCGGUAAUACAGAGGGUGCGAGCGUUAAUCGGAUUUACUGGGCGUAAAGCGCGCGUAGGUGGUUAAUUAAGUCAAAUGUGAAAUCCCCGAGCUUAACUUGGGAAUUGCAUUCGAUACUGGUUGGCUAGAGUAUGGGAGAGGAUGGUAGAAUUCCAGGUGUAGCGGUGAAAUGCGUAGAGAUCUGGAGGAAUACCGAUGGCGAAGGCAGCCAUCUGGCCUAAUACUGACACUGAGGUGCGAAAGCAUGGGGAGCAAACAGGAUUAGAUACCCUGGUAGUCCAUGCCGUAAACGAUGUCUACUAGCCGUUGGGGGAUUUGAUCCUUUAGUGGCGCAGCUAACGCGAUAAGUAGACCGCCUGGGGAGUACGGUCGCAAGACUAAAACUCAAAUGAAUUGACGGGGGCCCGCACAAGCGGUGGAGCAUGUGGUUUAAUUCGAUGCUACGCGAGGAACCUUACCCGGGCUUGAAUUGCAUUUGAAUGUCGUGGAAACAUGGCAGCCAGCAAUGGCAAAUGUGAAGGUGCUGCAUGGUUGUCGUCGGCUCGUGCCGUGAGGUGUCGGCUUAAGUGCCAUAACGAGCGCAACCCUCAUCGAUAGUUACUAACAGGUUAAGCUGAGGACUCUAUCGAGACUGCCGGCGUAAGCUGUGAGGAAGGUGGGGAUGACGUCAAAUCAGCACGGCCCUUACGUCCGGGGCGACACACGUGUUACAAUGGGGGGGACAGAAGGCUGCCACUGGGUGACCAGGCGCUAAUCCCAAAACCCCCUCUCAGUUCGGAUCGAAGUCUGCAACCCGACUUCGUGAAGCUGGAUUCGCUAGUAAUCGCGCAUCAGCCAUGGCGCGGUGAAUACGUUCCCGGGCCUUGUACUCACCGCCCGUCA
rnacentral:rRNA from 1 species